rnacentral:rRNA from 1 species
GACGAACGCUGGCGGCGUGCCUAAUACAUGCAAGUCGAGCGAAUGGAAGGGAGCUUGCUCCCUGAAGUUAGCGGCGGACGGGUGAGUAACACGUGGGCAACCUGCCUGUAAGACUGGGAUAACUUCGGGAAACCGGAGCUAAUACCGGAUACGUUCUUUCCUCGCAUGGGGAAAGAUGGAAAGAUGGUUUCGGCUAUCACUUACAGAUGGGCCCGCGGCGCAUUAGCUAGUUGGUGGGGUAAUGGCCCACCAAGGCGACGAUGCGUAGCCGACCUGAGAGGGUGAUCGGCCACACUGGGACUGAGACACGGCCCAGACUCCUACGGGAGGCAGCAGUAGGGAAUCUUCCGCAAUGGACGAAAGUCUGACGGAGCAACGCCGCGUGAGCGAAGAAGGCCUUCGGGUCGUAAAGCUCUGUUGUCAGUGAAGAACAAGUGCCAGAGUAACUGCUGGCACCUUGACGGUACCUGACCAGAAAGCCACGGCUAACUACGUGCCAGCCGCCGCGGUAACAC